rnacentral:lncRNA from 1 species
AUUAUCCGAUGCAAAUCCUAACUUAGCAGUUAACCAAUUAAUCUGACCUAUUUCACAAAUCAACAAUCAAAAUCUAUAAUAAUUUAACCACCGCACUUGUAACAACCUAAACCCAAAUUAAUUAACAUAAUUCAAUUGCCAAAGUCUUGUGCUGUUUAAAGGUUGUAUACAAUUGACUUCAUAAAUUACAAAAGAAUCAAAGAAAAUAUUUUGAUUCCAUUACAAAAGAAUCAAACAAUAUUAACAAAUGAAAAAAAAAAUAAUGCAACAGCUCUUUUGAUUACUUGUGUUCCUCAUCCUUCACAACCUGGCCUGUUUCUACGGUUCUUAUCUUAAACCGCUCGAGCUUUGGCGUUGAUCCCUCCACUUCUCCCUGAAAUCCAGACUUUGAGGCAUUAAAGCCACCAUUCAAACCUAUCUGCCCCCCGCUCCUGGCCUUGUUUAUUCUAUUCAGAGCAACUUGGCUUCUUAGAUUACUGGCGGACUCGAAAUUCGUUUGCCCUGAAUUAGGAUGAUUUCUCAUGGAGAUGUUUGAGAUCAGUUUUUUGCGUGCAAAAGUAUCUGUAUAUAGUUUCAAGAGCGAUGGGAAAAGCUGGAAACUAUGCCUUCCUCUAUUCUUCUUUGGUAAAACCAAUGACUUUGAUCCAACGAAUAGCUAUGAUCUGAAAUUUAACAACGAUCAGAAAAAUAUAUGAAAACUAGCUUAAUUCCGUGUUUCUCUCUCUUCUGGUAAAUUAGGAGAUGUAUCUGGAUAUAUUGAAGGCUUUGAGCUGCUGGCCUCCAAAUUUAUAGAGCUUGCUAGCAAUGGAUUUGACCAAUCAAAGGUCAAAAAUUGAGACUAUUUUAAGGUUCGAAGGAUUUGUUAAAGUCAGAAAGUUUGGGGUUACACGCUUUUGAAGUUUUGAU